AAACCAUUCUAAUUUUACAGGUCUUCCCCUAGAGAGUGUGCCAGUAUUUGAUAGCUGGUGCUCAGAGAAAAGCCUUGAUUGCAUCCUUCCCCUUGUACUGUAUCAGUGGUAGUUGUCACUCAGUGGAACGGAG
rnacentral:snoRNA from 1 species